GACGAACGCUGGCGGCGUGCUUAACACAUGCAAGUCGUACGGUAAGGCCCUUUCGGGGGUACCCGAGUGGCGCACGGGUGCGUAACACGUGAGUAACCUGCCCACAACUUUGGGAUAACGCUAGGAAACUGGUGCUAAUACUGGAUAUGUGCUCCUGCUGCAUGGUGGGGGUUGGAAAGCUCCGGCGGUUGUGGAUGGACUCGCGGCCUAUCAGCUUGUUGGUGGGGUAGUGGCCUACCAAGGCGGCGACGGGUAGCCGGCCUGAGAGGGUGACCGGCCACAUUGGGACUGAGAUACGGCCCAGACUCCUACGGGAGGCAGCAGUGGGGAAUAUUGCACAAUGGGCGCAAGCCUGAUGCAGCAACGCCGCGUGCGGGAUGACGGCCUUCGGGUUGUAAACCGCUUUCAGCAGGGACGAAGCUUUUUGUGACGGUACCUGCAGAAGAAGCACCGGCUAACUACGUG
rnacentral:rRNA from 1 species